UGCGUAGGCGGAUUUAUAAGUCAGUGGUGAAAUCCUACAGCUUAACUGUAGAACUGCCAUUGAUACUGUAGAUCUUGAGUACGGUUGAGGUGGGCGGAAUGUGUCAUGUAGCGGUGAAAUGCUUAGAUAUGACACGGAACACCAAUUGCGAAGGCAGCUCGCUAAACCGUAACUGACGCUGAGGCACGAAAGCGUGGGGAGCGAACAGGAUUAGAUACCCUGGUAGUCC
rnacentral:rRNA from 1 species